rnacentral:rRNA from 1 species
AUGCGGCAACUCCAUCAGGCGUAUAAUCUCCCUUGGCUACUAAUAGGCGAUCUGAACGAAAUACAGUUCUUGCAUGAUAAAGAAGGAGGGAAUCCUAGACCUCCCCAAUAUAUGCGUGCAUUCCAGGAUGCCAUUGAUGGCUGUGAAUUACAUGACAUAGGCUUCAUUGGUGACCGGUUCACUUGGUACAGGGGAAGAAUAAAAGAAAGACUAGACCGUGGGCUAGUGAAUGAUGCUUGGAUUAAUAUGUUCCCCCAAGCUGCACUGGAAAACUUGGAGUUCAAUCAUUCAGAUCAUCGCCCUCUGCUAGUGGAUUCAGAAUACCACAGUGGGGCAGCCCGAUCAAGUAACAAUGCUGAACCGAAGAGAUUUGAGGCUCGUUGGCUGCGUGAGGAGAGUUUUAAUGACACUGUUGAGAAAGCUUGGACUGAUAUCGGGUCAGACCCAUCAAUCAGCAAUAUAUAUGAUAAACUAAACAAGAUGCACGCCCUAUUUCAUGACUGGGAGGGUCCUCAAGAAACCAAAGAAGCGGCUCCGGAAAGCGCAAAAAGACCUUGA